rnacentral:rRNA from 1 species
AUUGAACGCUGGCGGCAGGCUUAACACAUGCAAGUCGAACGGUAGCAGGAGAAAGCUUGCUUUCUUGCUGACGAGUGGCGGACGGGUGAGUAAUGCUUGGGAAUCUGGCUUAUGGAGGGGGAUAACUACGGGAAACUGUAGCUAAUACCGCGUAGUGUCGAGAGACGAAAGUGCGGGACCGUAAGGCCGCAUGCCAUGAGAUGAGCCCAAGUGGGAUUAGGUAGUUGGUGGGGUAAAGGCCUACCAAGCCUGCGAUCUCUAGCUGGUCUGAGAGGAUGGCCAGCCACACUGGAACUGAGACACGGUCCAGACUCCUACGGGAGGCAGCAGUGGGGAAUAUUGCGCAAUGGGGGGAACCCUGACGCAGCCAUGCCGCGUGAAUGAAGAAGGCCUUCGGGUUGUAAAGUUCUUUCGGUAUUGAGGAAGGAGUGUAUGUUAAUAGCAUACAUU